AACACAUAGGUUUUGGUCCUAGCUUUCUCAUUAGUUUUUAGUAAAAUUAUACAUGCCAGUAUCUGCCCUCCAGUGAGAAUGCCCUCUAGGUCCCAACAGACCAGAAGGAGCGGACAUCAAGGACACUAAUAAGUAACUCACAACAUCUUGCUCAACCACACCCCCACGGGAUACAGCAGUAAGAAAAAUUAAGCAAUAAACGAAAGUUCGACUAAGUUAUACUAGAAAUACAGGGUUGGUAAAUUUCGUGCCAGUCACCGCGGUCAUAUGAUUAACCCACACUAAUAAGAUCCGGUGUAAAGCGUGUUUAAAUUAUACUCAAACUAAAGUUAAACCCUGACUAGGCCGUAAAAAGCUACAGUCAAACCUAAAAUAAUCCACGAAAGUGACUUUAAUGUUUUGAAGACAUGACAGCUAAGACUCAAACUGGGAUUAGAAACCCCACUAUGCUUAGCCAUAAAUAUAAAUAAAUUUAAACAAAUUUAUUCGCCAGAGUACUACAAGCAACAGCUUAAAACUCAAAGGACUUGGCGGUGCUUCACAUUCCCUCUAGAGGAGCCUGUUCUAUAACUGAUAACCCCGAUUAACCUUACCACCCCUUGCUAAUUCAGUCCAUAUACUGCCAUCUUCAGCAAACCCUAAAAAGGCCCUAAAGUAAGCACAAGUAUAAACAUAAAAACGUUAGGUCAAGGUGUAACCUAUGAGGUGGAAAGCAAUGGGCUACAUUCUCUACUUUAGAGCAUUACGAAUAUUCUUAUGAAAACAAGAAUUAAAGGAGGAUUUAGCUGUAAACUAAGAAUAGAGAGCUUGAUUGAAAAAAGGCCAUGAAGCACGCACACACUGCCCAUCACCCUCCUCAAAUGCAACCCAUACAACAGCUACAUAAAAAUAAAUCAUAACGCAUGAGAUGAGAUAAGUCGUAACAAGUUAAGCAUACUGGAAAGUGUGCUUGGAAUAGACAAAGU
rnacentral:ncRNA from 1 species